rnacentral:rRNA from 1 species
AGACGGGGGCCCGCACAAGCGGUGGAGCAUGUGGUUUAAUUCGAUGCAACGCGAAGAACCUUACCUGGGCUUGACAUCCCAAGAAUCCCCUGGAAACAGGGGAGUGCCCUUCGGGGAGCUUGGAGACAGGUGCUGCAUGGCUGUCGUCAGCUCGUGUCGUGAGAUGUUGGGUUAAGUCCCGCAACGAGCGCAACCCUUGCCUUUAGUUGCCAUCAUUCAGUUGGGCACUCUAGAGGGACUGCCGGUGAUAAACCGGAGGAAGGUGGGGAUGACGUCAAAUCAUCAUGCCCCUUAUGACCUGGGCUACACACGUGCUACAAUGGUUGGUACAACGAGUUGCGAGUCGGUGACGGCGAGCUAAUCUCUUAAAGCCAAUCUCAGUUCGGAUUGUAGGCUGCAACUCGCCUACAUGAAGUCGGAAUCGCUAGUAAUCGCGGAUCAGCACGCCGCGGUGAAUACGUUCCCGGGCCUU